UACGUAGGGUGCAAGCGUUGUCCGGAAUUAUUGGGCGUAAAGAGCUCGUAGGCGGUUUGUUGCGUCGGCUGUGAAAUCCCGAGGCUCAACUUCGGGUCUGCAGUCGAUACGAGCAAACUAGAGUGUUGCAGGGGAGACUGGAAUUCCUGGUGUAGCGGUGAAAUGCGCAGAUAUCAGGAGGAACACAGGUGGCGAAGGCGGGUCUCGGGGCAAUUCCUGACGCUGAGGCGCGAAAGCGUGGGGAGCAAACGGG
rnacentral:rRNA from 1 species